UCUAGAUCUGAAGUUGUUUAUCUUUCAUCUUCUUCUUUCAUUUUCUCCAUUUUUAUCUGGAGCAAAAAUAUCUACUCUGUCCACCAAAAAAAUAUAUAUAUCUCCUCUGUUUCUUAGCCGGUCGGCUUCACAUGCGACGGUCAUGAUUCCUGCAUCAUAAAAAUCAAAACAUUAGAGUUCAAUUUCAAUCAUUUUUCAGAGAGUCGAUACAAAUUAAAUCUUGUGUAAAAUCAAUUUCUCCAUACGUCGUUUUGUUCUCUUUGGGGGAAACGGAAUCUAAUACCUCAAAACAAGAUUGUGAUGUGAUUUGGUGGGUGCGAUGCGGUGGCAACAGUUCGAUGGUUACGAUGUGGUGGAUGUGAUGUAGCUGAUGUGAAAACUAAUGAUAAAGAUCAUGGAUGACCAUCAGUUAGAAUGUUUGUGUUGUAGUUUUUUAAUGUAAGGCUUUCAUGUGUUCAUAUUCCCUUGAAUGGUUAAUGUUUUUUUCCUUAAAACAAUAUUUGUUCAAGUAUCUAUGGAUAUUGUAUAGUGAACUAAAGAUUGUUCAAGUAUCUAUGGAUAUGUUAAUCUUGACCAUGUGUUCGGGGAAAGAUUGUUUGGUAUA